GAUGAACGCUGACAGAAUGCUUAACACAUGCAAGUCUUUGGCGAAGCUGUGCUUGCACCGCCUAGCCAAGGCGGACGGGUGAGUAACGCGUCAGGAACUUGCCCUGCAGUCAGGGAUAACAGACGGAAACGACUGAUAAGACCUGGUAAAGUCAGGCGGACUCAUGUCCAGCCUGAUGAAAAGAGAUGCUGCAGGAGAGCCUUGCGUCCUAUUAGCUUGUUGGUGGGGUAACGGCCCACCAAGGCGAUGAUAGGUAGCCGGCCUGAGAGGGUGGACGGCCACAAGGGGAAUGAGAGACGGCACUUACGACUACGGGAGGAAGCAGGGGGGAAUAGUGGACAAAGGGGGCAACACUGAUCAAGCAAUUCUGUGUGCACGAUGAAGGUUUUCGGAUUGUAAAGUGCUUUCAGCAAGGAAGAAAAAAAUGACGGUACCUGCAGAAGAAGCGACGGCUAAAUACGUG
rnacentral:rRNA from 1 species